rnacentral:rRNA from 1 species
UACGUAGGGGGCUAGCGUUGUCCGGAUUUAUUGGGCGUAAAGAGCGUGUAGGCGGCCAGGUAGGUCUGCUGUGAAAACUCGAGGCUCAACCUCGAGACGUCGGCGGAAACCAUCUGGCUAGAGUCCGGAAGAGGAGAAUGGAAUUCCCGGUGUAGCGGUGAAAUGCGCAGAUAUCGGGAAGAACACCCGUGGCGAAGGCGGUUCUCUGGGACGGUAGCUGACGCUGAGACGCGAAAGCGUGGGGAGCGAACAGG